UACGUAGGGGGCAAGCGUUGUCCGGAAUCAUUGGGCGUAAAGCGCGUGUAGGCGGCCCGAUAAGUCCGCUGUGAAAGUCCAGGGCUCAACCCUGGAAUGCCGGUGGAUACUGUCGGGCUCGAGUCCGGAAGAGGCGAGUGGAAUUCCGGGUGUAGUGGUGAAAUGCGUAGAGAUCCGGAGGAACCCCAGAGGCGAAGGCGGCGCCCUGGCUCGACACUGACGCUCAGACACGACAGCAUGGGGAGCGAACGGG
rnacentral:rRNA from 1 species